rnacentral:rRNA from 1 species
GAUGAACGCUGGCGGCGUGCCUAAUACAUGCAAGUCGAGCGAACAGAUGAGGAGCUUGCUCCUCUGACGUUAGCGGCGGACGGGUGAGUACCACGUGGUUAACCUACCUAUAAGACUGGGAUAACUUCGGGAAACCGGAGCUAAUACCGGAUAAUUUAUUGAACCGCAUGGUUCAAUAGUGAAAGUCGGUUUUGCUUUCACUUAUAGAUGGAUCCGCGCCGCAUUAGCUAGUUGGUAAGGUAACGGCUUACCAAGGCAACGAUUCGUAGCCGACCUGAAAGGGAGGAUGGCCGCACGGGAACUGAGACACAGUCCACACUCCUACGGGGAGCAGCAGUAGAGAAUCUUCCGCGAGGGACGAAAGCCUGACAGAGCAACGCCGCGUGAGUGAUGAAGCUCUUCGGAUGGUAAAACUAUGUUAUUAGGAAAGAACAAAUGUGUAAGUAACUAGGCACGUCUUGACAGUACCUAGUCAGAAAGCCACGGCUAACUACGUG